UACGAAGGGGGCUAGCGUUGCUCGGAAUCACUGGGCGUAAAGCGCACGUAGGCGGAUUGUUAAGUCAGGGGUGAAAUCCUGGAGCUCAACUCCAGAACUGCCUUUGAUACUGGCGAUCUUGAGUCCGGGAGAGGUGAGUGGAACUGCGAGUGUAGAGGUGAAAUUCGUAGAUAUUCGCAAGAACACCAGUGGCGAAGGCGGCCCACUGGCCCGGUACUGACGCUGAGGUGCGAAAGCGUGGGGGAGCAAACAGG
rnacentral:rRNA from 1 species